rnacentral:rRNA from 1 species
UCCUACGGGAGGCAGCAGUGGGGAAUAUUGCGCAAUGGGCGGAAGCCUUGACGCAGCGACGCCGCGUGGGGGAUGACGGCCUUCGGGUUGUAAACCUCUUUCGGCAGGGACGAAGUGCACGUGUACCUGUAGAAGAAGCGCCGGUUAACUACGUGCCAGCAGCCGCGGUAAUACGUAGGGCGCAAGCGUUGUCCGGAAUUAUUGGGCGUAAAGAGCUCGUAGGUGGCUUGUCGCGUCUGCCGUGAAAGCCCGUGGCUUGACUACGGGUCUGCGGUGGAUACGGGCAGGCUAGAGGCUGGUAGGGGCAAGUGGAAUUCCUGGUGUAGCGGUGGAAUGCGCAGA